rnacentral:rRNA from 1 species
UUUCCGAACUCAGCAGUUAAGCUCAAAGACGCCAAUGGUACUGCGGGGGUGACUCCGUGGGAGAGUAGGUCGCCGCCAACA